UAAAAGGUGGCCGAGUUUAUAGGUGUUAGAUUGUAAAUCUAAAAAGGAGUAUUCCUCUCUUUUAA
rnacentral:tRNA from 1 species